rnacentral:rRNA from 1 species
GACCGUACCACAAACCGACACUGGUGCGCGAGAUGAGUAUUCUAAGGCGCUUGAGAGAACUCAGGAGAAGGAACUCGGCAAAUUGACACCGUAACUUCGGAAGAAGGUGUGCCUUUAGUAGGUGAACCUGUACAAGGGGAGCCCAAUGAGGUUGCAAAAAAUCGGUGGCUGCGACUGUUUAAUAAAAACACAGCACUCUGCAAACACGAAAGUGGACGUAUAGGGUGUGACGCCUGCCCGGUGCUGGAAGAUUAAAUGAUGGGGUGCAAGCUCUUGAUUGAAGUCCCAGUAAACGGCGGCCGUAACGAUAACGGUCCUAAGGUAGCGAAAUUCCUUGUCGGGUAAGUUCCGACCUGCACGAAUGGCGUAACGAUGGCCACACUGUCUCCUCCUGAGACUCAGCGAAGUUGAAAUGUUUGUGAUGAUGCAAUCUCCCCGCGGAAAGACGGAAAGACCCCAUGAACCUUUACUGUAGCUUUGUAUUGGACUUUGAACAGAUCUGUGUAGGAUAGGUGGGAGGCUUUGAAGUGUGGUCGCUAGAUCGCAUGGAGCCAACGUUGAAAUACCACCCUGGUGUGUUUGAGGUUCUAACCUAGGCCCGUAAUCCGGGUCGGGGACAGUGCAUGGUAGGCAGUUUGACUGGGGCGGUCUCCUCCCAAAGCGUAACGGAGGAGUUCGAAGGUACGCUAGGUACGGUCGGACAUCGUGCUAAUAGUGCAAUGGCAUAAGCGUGCUUAACUGCGAGACUGACAAGUCGAGCAGAUGCGAAAGCAGGACAUAGUGAUCCGGUGGUUCUGUAUGGAAGGGCCAUCGCUCAACGGAUAAAAGGUACUCUGGGGAUAACAGGCUGAUACCGCCCAAGAGUUCAUAUCGACGGCGGUGUUUGGCACCUCGAUGUCGGCUCAUCUCAUCCUGGGGCUGUAGCCGGUCCCAAGGGUAUGGCUGUUCGCCAUUUAAAGAGGUACGUGAGCUGGGUUUAAAACGUCGUGAGACAGUUUUGGUCCCUAUCUUCCGUGGGCGCUGCAGAUUUGAGGAAGCCUGCUCCUAGUACGAGAGGACCGGAGUGGACACACCUCUGGUGUAUCGGUUGUCACGCCAGUGGCAUUGCCGAGUAGCUAUGUGUGGAAGAGAUAACCGCUGAAAGCAUCUAAGCGGGAAAUUCGUUUCAAGAUGAGAUCUGCCGGGGCCUUGAGCCCCCUAAAGAGUCGUUCAAGACCAGGACGUUGAUAGGUCGGGUGUGGAAGCGCAGUAAUGCGUUAAGCUAACCGAUACUAAUUGCUCGUGCGGCUUGACCU